rnacentral:rRNA from 1 species
GUGCACCAGGCGCGAAAACUUUACAAUGUGCGAAAAGCACGAUAAGGGAACUCUGAGUGCCUCCUAAGGAGGCUGUUCAGGUGUCUAAAAAGCACCUGAAGGAAGGGCUGGGUAAGACCGGUGCCAGCCGCCGCGGUAACACCGGCAGCCCCAAGUGGUAGCCACGUUUAUUGGGUCUAAAGCGUCCGUAGCCGGCUGGGUAAGUUCCUUGGGAAAUUUGGCUGCUUAACAGUCAAGCUUUCAGGGGAAUACUGCCCCGGCUUGGGG